rnacentral:rRNA from 1 species
GACGUAGGGCGCGAGCGUUGUCCGGAUUUAUUGGGCGUAAAGAGCUCGUAGGCGGCUUGUUGCGUCGACCGUGAAAACCCGCGGCUUAACUGUGGACUUGCGGUCGAUACGGGCGGGCUGGAGUUCGGUAGGGGAGACUGGAAUUCCUGGUGUAGCGGUGAAAUGCGCAGAUAUCAGGAGGAACACCGGUGGCGAAGGCGGGUCUCUGGGCCGAUACUGACGCUGAGGAGCGAAAGCGUGGGGAGCGAACAGG